rnacentral:rRNA from 1 species
CGACUACAGUCAGAGUUUGAUCCUGGCUCAGGAUGAACGCUAGCUACAGGCUUAACACAUGCAAGUCGAGGGGCAGCACAGUGUAGCAAUACACGGGUGGCGACCGGCGCACGGGUGCGUAACGCGUAUCCAACCUUCCCGUUACUCUCGGAUAGCCUUCCGAAAGGGAGAUUAAUACGAGAUGGUGUUGAAAUUCCGCAUGUUAUUUCAACUAAAGAUUCAUCGGUAACGGAUGGGGAUGCGUGACAUUAGGUAGAUGGCGGGGUAACGGCCCACCAUGCCCACGAUGUCUAGGGGUUCUGAGAGGAAGGUCCCCCACACUGGAACUGAGACACGGUCCAG